AUUGAACGCUGGCGGCAGGCCUAACACAUGCAAGUCGAGCGAGCGGCGGACGGGUGAGUAAUGUCUGGGAAACUGCCCGAUGGAGGGGGAUAACAACUGGAAACGGUAGCGAAUACCGCAUACCACCAGAGGUGCCCAGAUGGGAUGAGAUAGUAGGUGGGGUAACGGCUCACAUAGGCGACGAUCCCUCGCUGGUCUGAGAGGAUGACCAGCCACACGGGAACUGAGACAGUGUCCAGACUCCUACGUGAGGCAGCAGUGGGGAAUAUUGCACAAUGGGCGCAAGCCGGAUGCAGCCAUGCCGCGUGUGUGAAGAAGGCCUUAGGGUUGUAAAGCACUUUCAGCGGGGAGGCGUUACCCGCAGAAGAAGCACCGGCUAACUCCGUGCCAGCAGCCGCGGUAAUUC
rnacentral:rRNA from 1 species